rnacentral:rRNA from 1 species
AAUUUUGCGCAAUGGGGGAAACCCUGACGCAGCAACGCCGCGUGAAUGUUAAGCCCUUCGGGGUGUAAAGUUCUGUCAGUGGGGACGAAAUUUGACGGUACCCACAGAGGAAGCACCGGCUAACUCCGUGCCAGCAGCCGCGGUAAUACGGAGGGUGCAAGCGUUGUCCGGAAUCAUUGGGCGUAAAGAGUUCGUAGGUGGUAUGUUAAGUCUGGUGUUAAAGCCCGAAGCUCAACUUCGGUUCGGCACUGGAUACUGGCAAACUUGAAUGCAGCAGAGGUAAAGGGAAUUCCUGGUGUAGCGGUGAAAUGCGUAGAUAUCAGGAGGAACACCGGUGGCGAAAGCGCUUUACUGGACUGUUAUUGACACUGAGGAACGAAAGCCGGGGUAGCAAAUGGG